CCUACGGGGGGCAGCAGUGAGGAAUAUUGGUCAAUGGACGAGAGUCUGAACCAGCCAAGUAGCGUGAAGGAUGACUGCCCUAUGGGUUGUAAACUUCUUUUAUAUGGGAAUAAAAUGUUCCACGUGUGGGAUUUUGUAUGUACCAUAUGAAUAAGGAUCGGCUAACUCCGUGCCAGCAGCCGCGGUAAUACGGAGGAUCCGAGCGUUAUCCGGAUUUAUUGGGUUUAAAGGGAGCGUAGGUGGAUUGUUAAGUCAGUUGUGAAAGUUUGCGGCUCAACCGUAAAAUUGCAGUUGAAACUGGCAGUCUUGAGUACAGUAGAGGUGGGCGGAAUUCGUGGUGUAGCGGUGAAAUGCUUAUAUAUCACGAAGAACUCCGAUUGCGAAGGCAGUUCACUGGACUGCAACUGACACUGAGGCUCGAAAGUGUGGGUAUCAAACAGGAUUAGAUACCCUAGUAGUC
rnacentral:rRNA from 1 species